ACUCAAAGGAAUUGACGGGGGCCCGCACAAGCGGCGGAGCAUGCGGAUUAAUUCGAUGCAACGCGAAGAACCUUACCUGGGUUUGACAUGUGCACUGUGACUUCAGAGAUGGAGUUUCCCUUUGGGGGGUGUUCACAGGUGGUGCAUGGCUGUCGUCAGCUCGUGUCGUGAGAUGUUGGGUUAAGUCCCGCAACGAGCGCAACCCUCGUUCCAUGUUGCCAGCGCGUGAUGGCGGGGACUCAUGGGAGACUGCCGGGGUCAACUCGGAGGAAGGUGGGGAUGACGUCAAGUCAUCAUGCCCCUUAUGUCCAGGGCUUCACGCAUGCUACAAUGGCCGGUACAAUGGGUGGCGAUGCCGUGAGGUGGAGCGAAUCCCAAAAAGCCGGUCUCAGUUCGGAUCGCAGUCUGCAACUCGACUGCGUGAAGUCGGAGUCGCUAGUAAUCGCAGAUCAGCAACGCUGCGGUGAAUACGUUCCCGGGCCUUGUACACACCGCCCGU
rnacentral:rRNA from 1 species